rnacentral:rRNA from 1 species
UACGUAUGGUGCAAGCGUUAUCCGGAUUUACUGGGCGUAAAGGGAGCGCAGGCGGCGCGCCAAGUCUGAUGUGAAACCCCGGGGCUCAACCCCGGGCAUGCAUUGGAAACUGGCGGGCUGGAGUGCCGGAGAGGUAAGCGGAAUUCCUAGUGUAGCGGUGAAAUGCGUAGAUAUUAGGAGGAACACCAGUGGCGAAGGCGGAUUACUGGACGAUAACUGACGGUGAGGCGCGAAAGCGUGGGGAGCAAACAGG